GACGAACGCUGGCGGCGUGCUUAACACAUGCAAGUCGAACGAAAAGCGAUGGAAGCUUGCUUCUAUCAAUCUUAGUGGCGGACGGGUGAGUAACGCGUAAUCAACCUGCCCUUCAGAGGGGGACAAAAGUUGGAAACGACUGCUAAUACCACAUACGAUCCGACCUCGGCAUCGAGGAGGGAUGUAAGGUGGCCUCUAUUUAUAAGCUAUCACUGAAGGAGGGGAUUGCGUCUGUUUAGUUAGAUGGAGGGGUAACGGCCCACGAAGGCAAUGAUCAGUAGCCGGUCGGAGAGGAUGAACGGCCACAUUGGGACGGAGACACGGCCCAGACUGCUACGGGAGGCAGCAGGGGGGAAUCGGCCGGAAUGGACGAAAGUCUGACGGAGAAACGCCGCGGGAGGGAUGACGGCCGUCGGGUUGUAAAGCUCGGUUAAUCGGGAGGAAAGGUCUUCUUGCGAAUAGGUAGAAGAAUUGACGGUACCGGAAGAGAAAGCCACGGCUAACUACGUG
rnacentral:rRNA from 1 species